rnacentral:rRNA from 1 species
CAUACCUAUUCGAAGGGAUAGGGUCGGUUUGACCGGAUCUCACACAGGUGUUGCAUGGCUGUCGUCAGCUCGUGUCGUGAGAUGUUGGGUUAAGUCCCGCAACGAGCGCAACCCUCAUCCUUAGUUACCAUCAGGUUAUGCUGGGGACUUUAAGGAAACUGCCAGUGAUAAACUGGAGGAAGGUGGGGAUGAUGUCAAGUCAUCAUGGCCCUUAUGGAGUGGGCUACACACGUGCUACAAUGGUGAUUACAAUGGGCUGCAAGGUCGCAAGGCUGAGCUAAUCCUAAAAAAUCAUCUCAGUUCGGAUUGUUCUCUGCAACUCGAGAGCAUGAAGUUGGAAUCGCUAGUAAUCGUGGAUCAGCAUGCCACGGUGAAUACGUUCUCGGGUCUUGUACACACUGCCCGUCACGCCAUGGGAAUUGGUUUCACUCGAAGCU